AUAUUUAUUUAUUUAUUUAUUUAGAGAGAAAGAAUCUCAAGCAGGCUCCAAGCUCAUCACAGAGCCCGACGUGGGGCUUGAUACAACUCUGGGAUCAUGACCUGAGAUGAAUCUAAGAGUUGGACGCUCAACUGACUGAACCACCCAGGCACCCAAUAAUAGGAAAUUUAUAGCAAUGAGUGCCGGUUAACCACAAGUGUGAUAUGCUUAACGUUGUUACAGAGCUGGCCUCACCCUCCAUGCACUGCGGAGUCUGGACAUACAGGUUUUCUUCUUUUCCUAGAGCUUUGGCAAAAUGUUCCUGAGAGUGUUUUAGUAAAAUAUGAAGAAAGAGUUAAAUUCUUAGAGUGCUCUGUUAAUUUAGUUUUGUUAGCUCAUCACAUGUCUGUAGUUGCCAUAUCUCGUCUUUAA
rnacentral:lncRNA from 1 species